AUUGAACGCUGGCGGCAGGCCUAACACAUGCAAGUCGAACGGCAGCACAGAAGAGCUUGCUCUUUGGGUGGCGAGUGGCGGACGGGUGAGUAACACGUAGGAAUCUACCCAGUAGUGGGGGAUAACCUGGGGAAACCCAGGCUAAUACCGCAUACGCCCUGAGGGGGAAAGCGGGGGAUCUUCGGACCUCGCGCUAUUGGAUGAGCCUGCGUCGGAUUAGCUAGUUGGUGGGGUAAGGGCCCACCAAGGCGACGAUCCGUAGCUGGUCUGAGAGGAUGACCAGUCACACCGGAACUGAGACACGGUCCGGACUCCUACGGGAGGCAGCAGUGGGGAAUAUUGGACAAUGGGCGCAAGCCUGAUCCAGCCAUGCCGCGUGGGUGAAGAAGGCCUUCGGGUUGUAAAGCCCUUUAGGUGGGGAGGAAGGCAUUCAUGCUAAUACCAUGGAUGAUUGACGUUACCCACAGAAUAAGCACCGGCUAACUCCGUGCCAGCCGCCGCGGUAACAC
rnacentral:rRNA from 1 species